UACAGAGGGGGCAAGCGUUGUUCGGAAUUACUGGGCGUAAAGGGCGCGUAGGCGGCCUUCUAAGUCGAACGUGAAAUCCCCGGGCUCAACCCGGGAACUGCGUCCGAGACUGGAAGGCUUGAAUCCGGGAGAGGGAUGUGGAAUUCCAGGUGUAGCGGUGAAAUGCGUAGAUAUCUGGAGGAACAUCAGUGGCGAAGGCGGAUCUCUGGGCCUUACCUGACGCUGAGGAGCGAAAGCAUGGGGAGCAAACAGG
rnacentral:rRNA from 1 species